UACGAAGGGGGGCUAGCGUUGCUCGGAAUCACUGGGCGUAAAGCGCACGUAGGCGGAUUGUUAAGUCAGGGGUGAAAUCCUGGAGCUCAACUCCAGAACUGCCUUUGAUACUGGCGAUCUCGAGUCCGGGAGAGGUGAGUGGAACUGCGAGUGUAGAGGUGAAAUUCGUAGAUAUUCGCAAGAACACCAGUGGCGAAGGCGGACGACCUGGUCCGAUACUGACGCUGAGGCGCGAAAGCGUGGGGAGCAAACAGGG
rnacentral:rRNA from 1 species